UUUCCACUCCUUUCCUCGUUCGUUCGAUCAACACCACCACUCAACAAUGACGACGACGACGAUAUACGAACAGUUCUUCUCUCCUCGUCACUCUUUACUUUCAACCUUACCCGCCGUUAUUCGCGCACCAGCAACGAUGCUCCAUAAUUCAACAAUAACUGUGCCAUCUGAUGAUGACCUUCAUAAGCGGCCAUAUGCAGUGGUGUUCUGUCUACCUUGGUUCUUGCAUCUCUGGAUAUUCCUGCUCUGAGUAAAACUUCAGCGGUUUCUGUAUGAUUAUUUUGUGCUGCCAAAUGCAAAGCACUUGUACCAAGCUGAAAAACAAAAUUCAUAAUAAUAAAAUACUUUUAUAUGAA